rnacentral:rRNA from 11 species
GGUCUGGAGUUGGGUCCCAAGGGUCUGGUUGAUCUCCUUUUGCGUCGCAGUGUCGGAGGUCACCACGUGGACUGGCAGGUCGGCUCUAUUCCGCUGGAGGCGG